rnacentral:rRNA from 1 species
UCCGUAGGUGAACCUGCGGAAGGAUCAUUAAUGAAAAUGUGUUGCCGGGGCCCAUAAUCCCGGCACUAACCUUCUUAUCCAUAACACCUGUGCACUGUUGGAUGCUUGCAUCCACUUUUAUACUAAACAAUUUGUAACAAAUGUAGUCUUAUUAUAAUUAAUAAAACUUUUAACAACGGAUCUCUUGGCUCUCGCAUCGAUGAAGAACGCAGCGAAAUGCGAUAAGUAAUGUGAAUUGCAGAAUUCAGUGAAUCAUCGAAUCUUUGAACGCACCUUGCGCUCCUUGGUAUUCCGAGGAGCAUGCCUGUUUGAGUGUCAUAAACCUCUCAAACCCAAGUUUUGGAUUUAUCCUUGCUUGAGUUUGGAUUUGGGUGUUUGCCAGUGAUGAACUGACUCACCUUAAAAGUAUUAGCUAGAUCUGUCUUUGACUGGUUUGACUUGGCAUAAUAAGUAUUUUGCUAAGGACAUCUUCGGAUGGCCAGGACUUGACUUUUGUCUGCUUACUAAACCUUACUUUAAGUGCAUCUCUGGUGUUACUUAUAGUAUUACUUUGACAUAUGGCCUCAAAUCAGGUAGGACUACCCGCUGAACUUAAGCAUAUCAAUAAGCGGAGGA